GCGCCAUCUUUGACGCUGGCAGUCUUGGAUUUCUGCUGGUGCUGCUGCUGUGAGGACGGCGGGCGGCAGCGGCUAAGAAAGAAGAAAGACGUGGCAGCAAGCGGGAGUCGGGGACAGUGUCGGCGGUUCGGUAAAGUUUCUGUUCUCUGGGUCCCACUACUUGGGAGAUAUUCUCAAACUCCACAUACUGAAAGCCACCGACCUUAAUCCGGAUUGAUGAAACCGUAAUGAAGAACACCCCCUAAAGUCCCAUAAUCGGUGCGGAUUCCUAUGGGGAAGGCCCAUGUUGUUGACAUCUUGCAGGCCUUGGUUCUGGACCUUGAGAAGGAGGCUGUGGAACUAGUGAUAGCGAUGCUUUUUAGGAUUUGGGGAUAUUCCCUGCCCAAAAAUUUCCUGGAAAAUUGACUAGUAUUAAGUGUGAGUAAAAGGUGUCCACUUUUUUUUAAGUUUUGAUUUUAGUUUUGUCUUGGAUAGUAUUUGGCAAGAUUUAGCCUAGAAAUUAUGUAGUAUUUAUUACAUGAGAAUCAAAACUGCUUUGUUACGGGGCUGGUUUCAAAAUUUAGAACUCAUUUCUAUGUAUCAAAAUCGUUUUUUGUUUUUGUUUUUUGGGUUUUUUGUUUUUUGUUUUUUGUUUUUUUAAUUCUUAAAUGGUAAAUGUACCAUUGUGAAAUGAAAUUUAAACUCCAAAAGUUUACCCUUUUACUAACUGGAGUAAAUGAAUAAUUAUAAAGUCUUUAGUUGUAGCCAUCACUUGUAAAAGAAAACAAACAAACAAACACGAAACCAGGCUGCCUAAGCAAGCCUUUGCAGGGCCAAUAUUGAAUGUCAUGCCAGUGACGCUGGUGUUGCUAUAAAGGAAGAAAAAGUCUUCCAUUAGAUAGACGCUUUCUGGAUUGUGACAGUGCCAGUUCAGGACGGCUGUAAUGCUGCUCUGCCUUCCGCAGCAUGCUGCACCACUCUGUAGUUACUCGGUAACUAUACGUUUCUAUCUUUUUUGGUUAAACACUCCCUGAAGAUGAGAAAUAUGAUGUACAUACAUCCGUAUUAUACACAUUGAUUCACGUGUAAGGAUUUCCCUUCAUGUUUAUUCUGUGGGCUGGGCACAAUUUAGUGUAACAUAGCGAUACACGUCAUGAUACUUUGGUGUAAGAGUAAGUUCACUAUUUUUAUAAUGAACCCAAAACUGAAGGCUUUUGUAGUGUAUUUUAAAAGGGAAAACUUACCCAAAUGUUUUAUUUCUACACAUUUGUGUAUAUGUGUGUGUGUGUGUAUAAGCCAGUUAGUAUAUGUGUAUAUGUAUAUUAUAUACAUAAAACACUUUAUAUUUUUUCAUACAAGUAUGCUUUUAUUAUACAGAUAAUAAAGAUGGGGGAAGGUUUCUGUUUUUUUCUUAAUAGGUGAAGAAAUCUUGAAGACCAGAAAUUGGAUCUUAUUGAAUUUUGGUGUUCUUUUUCUUUUUUCUUUUUCUUCUUUCUUUUUAAAUUAUAUUGUUCGGCUAUGGAAGAUGGAUUUUUUUUUUCCAAUAAUCCUUUGACUCUGAAGUUCAUCUUUAAAUGAACUCUCUUUUUUGUUGGUUUUUAUUUUUGUUUUUGUUUUUGAGGAGAUAACUAAGCCUAGCUGUCUCCAGUCUGACAAAGGUUAUUCGAAUGGACUUAAUCUCCCAGUAGUUGGGAGAUGUUUUAAAAACACGUCCUGUGUUUGAAUUGUGGCUGAGAGGUUUCCUUGGCAAUGUGAGGAGGAAAAUUCUUUCUGCCCCAUUAUUAUUAAUUCAUGGAUUGAGUGUUGGUUCGACCUACAGGCGUAAUAGAUUGGAACUCAGUGAAGACACAGAGGUUCCUGUUGAGAGCAACCAGCUAAUGUAAGUGUGGGAAUGGGUUUUUUCUCAUUAAAGGAGUGAAUAUUUUUGUAAUUUAAGGCAUAAUUUUCCUGGAUCAGUAAGAAAUUAAAAAACCAUUGUCAAGAUAUUUUUUUCUUGUAAUUACUUACAAGCUUUUGGUUUGGGGAUGGAAACAUUUCCUUCCCCUCCCCCCUUUUUUC